rnacentral:rRNA from 15 species
CAAUCCAACCAUUUUCCGGCUAGAUCCGAAACUUCCCUCGAGAUAGCUGUAAUCAGUUGUCGUCUUUAUCACGUACUAGGUAUCGCGAAUGAUGCAAGGCCGCAGGGGUGGAACGUCCUAGACCUAUUCUCAAACUUAAAAUGGGUAAGAGCCCGGGGGUUGCUCGAAUGGAGCCCCGGUGUUGAAAGGCAGUUGCAAAUGGGCCAUUCCGGGUGAGCUGGAC